rnacentral:lncRNA from 1 species
UUGUUUGUAUGGCAUAAAGGGGCAAAGAGGUGGAUUAUUAUUGGAAUUUGAUCUCAAGGGGUGGGAUAAGGUACUAAGCAUUAAAAAUUUUAUAAUUACCAAAAGUUUCUGUAAAAUCAUUAAAAGUGUUGAUAUCUCAAAAUGAAACAAAGAAUUCUUAAAUGCACUGGAUAAUAUGUUAAAGGCAAAUUAGUCAUUUAUCGGAGUUGAACCCCAAAUUUAACCCUCACCUGGUGCAAAGCUAAUGAGCUCGCAUGAUUGGGGAAAAAUGUGUCAAAUUACUGAUUCGUGCUGGCCCAAGUUGGUUUACAAUUUGAUAAUGUUAGUUCCGUAAUAAGGUUCUCUUUGCUCGUCCAGACGAUGAGAAUAAUCGGAAAUUUCUAUUAGGAGUGUCAUGCAUGCUUCAAAAUAUCUUAGAAAGCCACUCCUGCAGCCACUUUGCAUAUGUUUCCUAUUCUUUUUUCUUCUAGUUUUUUAUUUUAUUUAGAGACUAUCUGCUUCCUCACCCAUCCCUGCAUGGAUCAGGGAGAGCUAUGGAAAUAAAAGUUUUACUAGAGGAAUGUUUCUUUUAAAGCAUCUAAUGGUAUACAGAAGAUUAAAACAAAAACAAUUGAACCCAAAAAAAAAAGCUCCAUGACAAUCAGUCAUUUUAAAUAUUUUAUGCAGUGAUUGAUCCAAAGAGAAAGAUACAAAUCGAUCUAUUCUUUCAUAUCAAGAGACUCUGCUUUUCAUGCUGCGUCUAUCUGCCCUCACUUUCUCCAUCUGCCCACUCUUCCCCACCAUUCAGACCCUCUUUUCUAUUCUCACCUUGCAAUCCAAGACGAGAUGUUCUACAAUUAUCUCAAUAUUCAAUAGGAGGGGGAAAAGAGAGAGAGAGAGAGAGAGAAGGGGACAAUGAUUGCCAAGCAAUUCGGUGAUAUAAGCUCAAUCACGAGAGGUAUGGAUCCAUCAAUCCUUUUAUACUCCCCUAAUAUAGGAAGCCAUGUUUUGCUCCUUGUUUCUUGGAAAUGUCAUUGCAAACCAUGGACGAAGUUUACGUCCCAUGCAAAGUGAAAAGUGAGUUUUGGUUGGAGUUCACUUGCAAGACAUUUAGAUUUUGAAAUUCAUGUGAAACUCUAAGAUAAUGUUUUAAUGCACUGUAGAUCACUUUAUGCAGGCUGGUCUGAAGCAAAAACUCGAUUCUACUUACAGAGCAUGCUAAGCCAAACCCGUGAAGAGAAGCUGGUAGUUUUCCUUUUACGUUUCUAGCGAACAUAUUUGAUGCUGGUUAUCCUACAAUAUCAAGACUAACUUUAUACAUCUUGGUGCACAAGACACCCUUGAGAAGGUUCAUUUAAAGUGCUGCUAUAAAUGUUAGAGAUUUAUAAUGGACUGAAAUAUUGACUGGCAGAUUUGGACUGAACCAUGAUGGGCCUCUGGUUGAAAUCAUAUGAAGCCCACUUGGGUUCAAAAAUAAUAGAGUCGUAUUAUUGCGACAAGAUUAAUGAACAAAGAAGGAAUUUAUACAACAGUUUGCAUCAACUAUAACCAUGUUUUUUAAUAAAACAAAGAAACCUGUCUUAAACAUAAAUAAAGAAUUUGAAUUUCUUGUUUGUACUAAAUGCAGGGUUUGUUCUAAGUCUCAUUGGUAAGCCCCAUUCUUCUGCGCAUAAAAGGAGGGGUUCAUGGCCUGCAGGAUGGUGAACCUAAAAUUUCACCACUUUAUUUUGAAAAAUUUUCGGAAUCUAAGAUACGAGAGUAGUAAAAGGGAUAUAUUUCAUUUAUUUUUGCAAACUAGGGAGUAGCAGGACCUCAAGGUCCAAAUAUAUUUGAUUCACAGAUUUCCCAAGAACAGGAUUGUAAGAAAUUAAAGAAGAAAAAAUUAGAAGAAGAUUUACUUGAUUGCUUUUAAUAUCAUUUUGGAAACAAUGCUAGUGUAAACAUCUAGAAAUUAGUUUGUGAGGAUUUUGUUUUCCUUUUUUUUAUUGGAUCUCUAUGGUGAGAUUGUAUUUUAGAUCUUCAUAAGAAAAACCCAACCUGCUGGUCAUGUUAAAUGUAAAAUCAGGUUUCAUGAUUAUAGAUGACUUGGUUACUCAAAUCUAUAAACUAAAACAACACCAAGAAAGUGUUGCACAUGGUACAUUUGUUACGUAUAUUGGUAUACUAGAAGCAAGAAUUGAAGUUUUAUUUGUCAAGAAUGUUCAAAAAUCUAAAAAAAAAUCCAUUUGGUUUCACUUUUGAUUGGUUGACAGUUUUUUUUAAUCAAAUCUUAAGUAUAUCCAGACUUGACAAUGAAUCAGAACAAAUUUAUAGAUCAUUGUUUUAACACCGACAACAAAGGAUUCAUAGAAUGCUCCACUUGU